UACGUAGGGUGCAAGCGUUGUCCGGAAUUACUGGGCGUAAAGCGCACGUAGGCGGCUUUGUAAGUUAGAGGUGAAAGCCCGGGGCUCAACCCCGGAAUUGCCUUUAAGACUGCAUCGCUUGAAUCCGGGAGAGGUGAGUGGAAUUCCGAGUGUAGAGGUGAAAUUCGUAGAUAUUCGGAAGAACACCAGUGGCGAAGGCGGCUCACUGGACCGGUAUUGACGCUGAGGUGCGAAAGCGUGGGGAGCAAACAGG
rnacentral:rRNA from 1 species